GACGUAGGGCGCAAGCGUUUGUCCGGAAUUAUUGGGCGUAAAGAGCUCGUAGGCGGUUUGUCACGUCGGAUGUGAAAGCCCGGGGCUUAACCCCGGGUCUGCAUUCGAUACGGGCAGACUGGAGUGUGGUAGGGGAGAUCGGAAUUCCUGGUGUAGCGGUGAAAUGCGCAGAUAUCAGGAGGAACACCGGUGGCGAAGGCGGAUCUCUGGGCCAUUACUGACGCUGAGGAGCGAAAGCGUGGGGAGCGAACAGG
rnacentral:rRNA from 1 species